AAACAAGUAGCUACAUGCUUUGAUAGUUAUGAAAUUAAUAAUUGAAGUUUUCGGUGGGAACUUGGAAACAUACCCAAGCUGAAGAAGAAUAUUUGCAAGCAUUGAAUGGACUCCAUAAUCCCAAAGGACCAGAUAAUAUAGUUUUGGUGUCUGGACAGGUGGAUCAUUGAUGCAUGUGCCCAAGAACCAUAUGAGUGAAAUAUGUGCGGAAUAGCUAUUUAGACCAUGAAGUUGAGAUGUGAAGAGAUGCAGGUCUUUGUUAUACAUGGUGUAUGAGGGAAACAUGGUGUAUGGCAGUCAUAGAAAACAUUUAAAAAGUGGGAACUUCGAAACAUACCCAAGCUGAAGAAGAAUAUUUGCAAGCAUUGAAUGGACUCCAUGACCCCAAAGGACCAGAUAAUAUAGUUUUGGUGUCUGGACAGGUGGAUCAUUGAUGCAUGUGCCCAAGAACCAUAUG